AAUGAGCGCAGCCAUGAGUUUCCAUGUCUAAUUUUGAUCGUCCGUCUUAUUUAAAUUUUAUUUAUAAUUAUUAUUUUUAUUGCUAUUAGAUUUAAAACAUGAAUAAUAUUUUAUGUGUGACUUAUUUUUUUAUCUUUUCAUAAAUUUUUCAAACGUCGGAUAUAAAUAAAGUUAUUUUGGGAUAAAGGGUGUACCUAGA
rnacentral:pre_miRNA from 1 species